GGACUCGCUUCGGCAGCACGUAUCUUAAAAUUGGAAAGGUACAGAGAUUAGCAUGGUCCCUGUUCAAGGAUUACACACAAUCGUGAAGCGUUCCACAUUUUU
rnacentral:snRNA from 1 species